UUAGUGAGAAGGAGGACUCUGUUUUCUGACCUCUUGCUUCAUUUCUUCCAUUUCUUUCUUAUCCCAAAAGGGCUUCUGCUUCCCUUCCUACUUUUCAGUUAGGUAGACUGGAAACCCUGAAAAACCCUUCCAAAGAAAACAACAACAAAAAAGCUGGAUGAAAUAUAUUUUUAAAAUCUUUAAAAUGAGAUUGAUGAACUGGCAAGAAAGUAAGAUAUCAGCAGAAUCCAAGAAUGAAGUAAAUGGAAACUCUGGGAGAUGACCAGCAAAAAACACUGAUCAACGUGGACACAUAAACUUAUCCUAGCACGCAUCUUUGCAUUUAGAAUGAGUCCUUUUUCUUUGCAGCAG
rnacentral:lncRNA from 1 species